GCCGCCAUGGUGAAAUUGGUAGACACGCUUCUCUUAGGAAGUAGUGCGAGAGCAUCUCAGUUCAAAUCCGAGUGGUGGCA
rfam:Picea glauca, whole genome shotgun sequence.